rnacentral:rRNA from 1 species
UAGGCAUGCAAGUCGAGCGAUAUAUAGGAUAGAGAGGUUGAAGCCGCAAGGCAGAUGCCAAUUUGUCUUGUCUAUAGCGGCAAACGGGUGAGGAACACGUGAGUAAUCUACCUUCAASCCGGGGAUAGCCUUGCGAAAGUAGGGAUAAUACCCGAUGUGUAUUUUGCUAGUAGUAGCGAAAUUGUAAAGGUGGCUCSCAAGAGCUGCUGUUUGGAGAUGAGCUCGCGUCCUAUCAGCUAGUUGGUGGGGUAAUGGCCCMCCAAGGCUUUUGACGGGUAGCUGSCCUGAGAGGGUGGUCASCCMCACGGGGACUGAGACACUGCCCCGACUCCUACGGGAGGCUGCAGUCGAGGAUCUUUAGCAAUGGGSGAAASCCUGACUAUGCGACGCCGCGUGAGGGAUGAAGGUUUUCGGAUCGUAAACCUCUUUCGAUGGGGAAGAAAUC